GUAACUCUCCUAUUUGUAGUUGCAUGCAAGGGUUUCAGCCAGUGCAUUGGGAGGAGUGGAAUAAUACGAAUUGGUCAAGGGGUGUGGGAGGAAGACUCCACUAAAGGCUGAGACUGAGAGAGCUUCUAAUAGUAGUUCUUCUGGAGCUGAGGUUAGUGUCAGAGAAGAUGGUUUCUUGGAGCAAAGGUGUACCAAGUUGCCGCAUUUUGCACGGUUGGAGAAUUUUGAACUAAAAAUAAUCUUGAAAUUUUACUCAACAUUCGUCUUGCUGAUGCUGAUUUAGGCGGUGGGGAGAAAAGGACCAAAAUUUGGAUAAUAUUAGUUGUUGUGGUGGGGUUGAUCUGCCUUGGAAUCGAUAUAUUUCUGGUAUGGAGGUUUAAGAGAAAACCUAAAGCAAUUUCAUCAGCUUCUGGUUACAACAACAAUAGCGAAAUACCAGUCUUUGAUCUAACGAGGAGUACAGACUUAUCAGAAAUUUUAGGUGAGUUAGGCUUGGAAGGGAAUCAACUAAGUGGAGCAGAACUUCCAUUGUUCAAUUUUAGCUACAUUCUAGCAUAUUA